rnacentral:rRNA from 1 species
UACGUAGGGUGCGAGCGUUGUCCGGAAUUAUUGGGCGUAAAGAGCUCGUAGGCGGUCUGUCGCGUCGGUCGUGAAAACUUGGGGCUUAACCCUGAGCUUGCGGUCGAUACGGGCAUGACUGGAGUUCGGCAGGGGAGACUGGAAUUCCUGGUGUAGCGGUGAAAUGCGCAGAUAUCAGGAGGAACACCGAUGGCGAAGGCAGGUCUCUGGGCCAUAACUGACGCUGAGAAGCGAAAGCAUGGGGAGCGAACAGG